GAUGAACGCUGGCGGCGUGCCUAAUACAUGCAAGUCGAGCGAACAGACGAGGAGCUUGCUCCUCUGACGUUAGCGGCGGACGGGUGAGUAACACGUGGAUAACCUACCUAUAAGACUGGGAUAACUUCGGGAAACCGGAGCUAAUACCGGAUAAUAUAUUGAACCGCAUGGUUCAAUAGUGAAAGACGGUUUUGCUGUCACUUAUAGAUGGAUCCGCGCCGCAUUAGCUAGUUGGUAAGGUAACGGCUUACCAAGGCAACGAUGCGUAGCCGACCUGAGAGGGUGAUCGGCCACACUGGAGCUGAGACACGGUCCAGACUCCUACGGGAGGCAGCAGUAGGGAAUCUUCCGCAAUGGGCGAGAGCCUGACGGAGCAACGCCGCGUGAGUGAUGAAGGUCUUCGGAUCGUAAAACUCUGUUAUUAGGGAAGAACAAAUGUGUAAGUAACUAUGCACGUCUUGACGGUACCUAAUCAGAAAGCCACGGCUAACUACGUG
rnacentral:rRNA from 1 species